UGAAUACGAGACGCUAAGGCGUCGAAGUAGUGUAUGUCAUACUUCCAAGAAAAGCUUGCACUGUCAUAGAUAAAAAACGCCUGUACCAUAACCGACACAGGUGGGUAGGUAGAGUAUACUAAGGGGCGCGAGAUAACUCUCUCUAAGGAACUCGGCAAAAUAACUCGUAACUUCGGGAGAAGGAGUGCCUUAUUCGUAAGGUUGCAAUAAUAAGAUCCAAGCAACUGUUUAUCAAAAACACAGGUCUCCGCUAAGUCGUAAGACGAUGUAUGGGGGCUGACGCCUGCCCAGUGCCAGAAGGUUAAAGAAGUUGGUUAGCAAUUGCGAAGCUGAUAACUGAAGCCCUGGUGAACGGCGGCCGUAACUAUAACGGUCCUAAGGUAGCGAAAUUCCUUGUCGGGUAAGUUCCGACCCGCACGAAAGGCGUAAUGAUUUGGAUACUGUCUCGGAGAGGGGCUCGGUGAAAUAGACUUGUCUGUGAAGAUGCGGACUACCUGCACCAGGACAGAAAGACCCUAUGAAGCUUUACUGUAACUUGAAAUUGAAAUUGGACUUUAUUCGCGCAGUAUAGGUGGGAGGCGUUGAUUAUAAUCUUGUGGGAUUAUUGGAGCCAUCAGUGAGAUACCACUCUUGUAAUGUUAGAUUUCUAACUUUGAAUCAUUAUCUGGUCAAAGAACAGUUUCAGGCGGGCAGUUUGACUGGGGCGGUCGCCUCCUAAACGGUAACGGAGGCGUACAAAGGUUUCCUCUGAACGGUUAGAAAUCGUAUCUAGAGUGUAAAGGCAUAAGGAAGCUUGACUGUGAGACCUACAAGUCGAGCAGGGACGAAAGUCGGUCUUAGUGAUCUGACGGUACUGAGUGGAAAGGCCGUCACUCAACGGAUAAAAGUUACUCUAGGAUAACAGGCUGAUCUCCCCCAAGAGUUCACAUCGACGGGGAGGUUUGGCACCUCGAUGUCGGCUCAUCGCAUCCUGGGGCGGUAGUACGUCCCAAGGGUUGGGCUGUCCGCCCAUGAAAGCGGUACGCGAGCUGGGCUCAGAACGUCGUGAGACAGUUCGGUCCAUAUCCGGUGUAGGCGUUAGAAUAUUGAGAGGAGCCUUCUUUAGUACGAGAGGACCGAGAAGGACAUACCUCUGGUGUACCAGUUAUCGUGCCAACGGUAAACGCUGGGUAGCUAUGUAUGGAGUGGAUAACCGCUGAAAGCAUCUAAGUGGGAAGCCCACCUCAUGAUAAGUAUUCUCA
rnacentral:rRNA from 1 species